GUCUAGACACAAUACAUAUACAUGCCUUUGAAUUAUUUCUUUUUCUUUGCAUGGCCUUUCCCGACAGCUCCUUCAAGUUGUAACCAAAGAUACAAACCGGAGUUCUCUCUGAUUGUUCUUGUUGAUUACACACACGUACAUGCAAGGUUUACUGAACCAAGCAUGUCCGACUCUAUGGCCACUAAAAUUGUGAGCUCUUGUGUGUAUACUUUACAUAGCAAAUCAAAGGGAUUAGCUUCAUAUAUAAGUGUCUCCAUGUGGGAUCAAUCCAGCAGCCUGCGCUUUGGUACCUGCACGAAUUCAGCCAUAUAUUUUCUCUCCUCACAACACCAAUCGGCUUCAAACUAAUAGAGCUAACCUUGUACAUUUGUAUCGCCGUAAAGCAGCACUUGGUUGUAUCGUCGAGGUUGGGCUUGCUCCAACAUUGGAUUACGUAUUUGGUACUAAGCACAGCAACAUUGCUAAUCGGCUUAUAUUAUUGAUCUUGUAGAGGAGGUGGACGUUGAUGGUGCAUAUGGAUUCAUAUAUGGUUGUACGCCUCCACAUUAACUCUAGGUGAAAAAUCCAUUGGCUAUGGUAGACC
rnacentral:lncRNA from 1 species